AGAGUUUGAUCCUGGCUCAGAUUGAACGCUGGCGGCAUGCCUUACACAUGCAAGUCGAACGGUAACAGGUCUUCGGAUGCUGACGAGUGGCGAACGGGUGAGUAAUGCAUCGGAACGUGCCCAGUAGUGGGGGAUAGCCCGGCGAAAGCCGGAUUAAUACCGCAUACGACCUGAGGGUGAAAGGGGGGGAUCGCAAGACCUCUCGCUAUUGGAGCGGCCGAUGUCAGAUUAGCUAGUUGGUGGGGUAAAGGCCUACCAAGGCAACGAUCUGUAGUUGGUCUGAGAGGACGACCAGCCACACUGGGACUGAGACACGGCCCAGACUCCUACGGGAGGCAGCAGUGGGGAAUUUUGGACAAUGGGCGCAAGCCUGAUCCAGCAAUGCCGCGUGCAGGAAGAAGGCCUUCGGG
rnacentral:rRNA from 1 species